AAACUUGUGCUAAUACUGGAUAAGUCUUUACGGAGAAAGCUUUAUGCACCAUUGGAUGAGCCUGCACUUGAUUAGUUUGUUGGUGGGGUAAUGGCCUACCAAGACUGUGAUCAAUAGCUGAUUUGAGAGGAUGAUCAGCCACAUUGGGACUGAGACACGGCCCAAACUCCUACGGGAGGCAGCAGUGGGGAAUCUUGCACAAUGGAGGAAACUCUGAUGCAGCGAUGCCGCGUGAGUGAAGAAGGCCUUUGGGUUGUAAAGCUCUUUCGUCGGGGAAGAAAAUGACUGUACCCGAAUAAGAAGG
rnacentral:rRNA from 1 species